UGAGACAGUAUCAAAAGGACCUGAUGGAUAGAAGAGGCCAGCAGGAAUGAAGGAGAACAGUUAUUCUAAAUCCUCAGUGUUCCCUGCAGCGUCUGACCGGUUGGGGCUGUUUUGAAAUCCCACAGAAGCGGUGAGUCCCUCUCAUUAUCCCACCACUGGGCAGCAAACAGCCCCCAUUGCUCCUCACAGAUCUGCCCUGUUGUGGCUCCUGGCACAUCAUGAACUCGUCUUAUGGAAGUAACACAGAUGGGAUCAGUAAAACCUUCCUCCUUGUUGAAGUCUAGUCACUAUGGCUCAAGUGACAGAAGGAGCCAUGAGAUUUCCACAGGAUUCUCAUAGGCAGAGUAGAGAGUCAGGUGCAAUGACCAAAACCAAAAUGCUGGCAGAAGACAAAAGAGAGCCAAAACUCCAGAGUGUGGUAUCCCGAGCUUUUGUUCCCACCGGAAAGAACACGCUCAGGACAACCGGAAUCUUCUGCGGCAAAAGCUUUAUUGCUUACUUCUUCAGGAGCAAGCGAGAGAAUGGCAAAACCCCGUCCCUUUUAAGGAGAAUUAUCCUCUGCCUAGGACGUGUAGCUCCCUGAUUGGCUGCAGCCCAUUGGCCGAGUUGUCGUCAUGGGGAAGGCAGAGCACAUGGAGUGGAGAACUACCCCGGCACAUGCGCAGAUUAUUUGUUUACUACUUAGAACACAGGAUGUCAGUGCCAUCUUGUAAUGGCGAAUGUGAGGGCGGCUCCCCACAGUGUGGACCCACAGUGGCCAACACCAGAUCCACUUCUGAGCAACAGAGCCUAGAGAAGCAUGGCUGCUGGGGACCUUUACAGAAACUCCUACCCCACCAAAGGAAGAACAGGAAGAAUAGGACCAGACUAGGAAGAGAAAUCCCAAGCCUUCCAGAUGAAAGAGCAUCUAGGAAGUCUGCGUUAGUCAUGAUGCCCCUUCACAUUAGCUACUCUUUUGCCCUUGUAUCCGUGUUUGAGACCGGAAGCCAGUUGUGCUUUCAAACGUCCUCUGCAGCUCGUAUCACUGUAGGUUUAAGCUUCUCAGAGACAGCCUGGCUAAGCCAGUGAGAAAGGGUACCCUACAGCUCAGGCAAGGGUCUUUCCUACAGUAUUCAAAGCCGCAUCUUUUUAUGAAAACAAAUUACUGCUUUAAAGGAACAUUCUGCAUUUAGAGCAGAGCACUUCUAAAGACCACAAGAAUAAAUUAAACAAAAUGUUGAAAAGGUAGACGCUAACAUUUAUUAAGGACUGGCAAACAGGUCAGCGGUUAAAGGCGCUCAUUUUCCUAGCCUGAGUAACUCAGUUUGAUCCCCAGAACUCUAGGAAGAAGGCGAGAACCAACUCCUCUAAGUUGUCCUCUGACCUUAACACAUACCCCGUGGCAUGUAAAUGCACACACAUGCACACACAUGCACACGUAUACCAAUAGAUAAAAAAUAUUAAAUUACAUGUGAUCCCACUCAAGUUGUAAUCUGAGAUGGCUGCUUGCAUUUAUAUAAAGCAAAACAGGCUAAAAAUAAUUCUAGUACAACUUCUAUUUCCUACAUUUGUGUAAAAGCUACGGGUUAUUUUAACUAAACAUCUGGUCUUCGUCCCUCAUGGUAAAAACCCCGAAUUUUCUUGAGUCUUUGGCAAGAGGUACCAGAACCCCAUGCCAAGCCAGUAAAAAUCACACAUUCUUCCCAAGAGGAAAAAAAUGUCAAUAAAAUGAAACACUGAAAAAAAUGUCAAAGCUCAACUAGGAGAGCUGCAGUGGCUGCCUCCUAAUCAGCCUUGCAAAUUGUUUUAAAUUUUUUACAUUCCACUACUUGGAAGAUCUAAUACUGGAGGUUUAUUCAAUAUAUUGCUCUUCAAAAAAAAUCUCCUUCCAACAUGGGCAUUCAGCCCAUUAUUCAGGUGCCUAGAAUAAAUCACGUGAAUUAAUUUUUAUAAAUAUUUAAUGUCUGUUCUUGCAUCGUACAAAUUGAUUCUUUAGGUUACUUCAAAUAGAGUUGAAUUUCGACAUUUCUCACUACAUGGAGAAAUAAUCUUGGUCUCACACUCGCCUUAGCACCUGCCAGGGUCUGGCACUGGCAUCUGUCAUAGAGAAAGCUGAGAAAUAAAUACAGUCUUGCCAUCAACAUAUGACAAGCUCAUUAUAACAAGAGACUCAUAAAUCUCAAAGCAAAGGGAGUACCUUUACAUAUUUAAAUAAUAAUUUUAUACAGUUUGUGUAUGGCGCUUUGGAACAAAGGCAGGUAUUUUUUCCUCUCUCUGCCAUAUAUAACAUUAAAAUGAAAUAUAGCAUAAUACCACCUCUCAACCUGCUCUAAAAGGGCCAAAAAGUUAACAGAUUUGCAAAAUACUUUGGUAACAUGAAACACAAAAUAGGAGUCUAAUACCCAUAAGCUCUUCUGUGUAACUCAGCAAUUGGAUUUUGCUUAGGUAGGAAGAAAUAAACAUUGGAGAAAGGCAAAUGGCCCAGAAUGAAAUGGCGAGAUUGGGGGUUAGGAACAGAGCUCCACUCCCAGGUUCCUUUGGGUGUUAAAAUUGGCCACCCUAGAGCAGACAUUUCUCAUAGCCUCAGGAAGCAUGCAGCUAUGAGUAAAGUAGGAUGCCCCUUCAACAUAGGGUUUAAAAUAUGUCCAACCCACAGCACACAAACAACUUCUUAUUCAAACACUUUACUAGAAGCCCAGAUAGAUCAGCCCUUUUAAACUCAGGUCACUUCAAUUCCCCUGGUAGGAAUUAUUUGUUCUCCAUUGACUACUACUUGCCAGGAGUAGAAAGUAUAGGCAUAGAAAGAUAGUAAGCAAAGAGCCAUCGCCACCCCAUGGGAGCCCCUGCAGCACUGUCAGGAAGCCAUCCUUGGGGCUGCGCCGAGCCUUUUGUGUGAAUAGAACAGAUUCCCAUCGACUCAGCAAGAUCCACUGGAGCAGAGUGAUCUUCUCAAGGUGUAUGAUUACUGCAACAGAGCAAACCUAGCGGAUUGACAGCAGAGCUCAGUGGCAGAACAUUUGACCAGGAUUCACAAAGUACUUACAAGCGUUCUUGGCAGGCAGUGAAUAUUUAAAACACUGCCUACUAUUGAGUACAAUGCUCAAACCUAGAGACAACAGCGCAAGCUGUACAGUAAGAUGUGGAAACAAAUGGAAGGGAGUAGCCAGGGCUGUCAUGGGAGAGUCUGGCUCAGAUUGCUGGAUGGAUGGUAAUGAAGGUACAAGUUACUAACUGUGGCUUAGCUCCAAUCUAUCUCCAGCACACGGUGUGAGGCCAUGGUGCCAACCCAGUUACACUCUUUCUUUUGAAGGAGGCACAUGGCGCUGGAAAGACUCUGGCUCCAGGGUCAUCUGCUCCUUAGUUUUCACAUCCAUGGCUGCCAUUUGUGCAUGUGAGGGAUACCAUGAUGCCCAGUGGAAAAUUCCCAGGAGUCUCACAGAUAUCCCAGUUUCUCACCUACACCCAGACUGUCUCAGGCUUGCUGUGUGGACAAACACUGCCCAGGGGAUGGUGGCAAAUUUCUCUGCCAUUUACAUCUUCUCCAAUGUGAUCUGAGACAGUUUGCUCUCUCUCUCUCCAUGUUCUGCCUCACCCCUAGCACAUGCAUUUUCCCUUUAAAAUUAAGCCUCUGGGAUGGGUGAAGUGAGUUAGAAGGUAAAGGCACUUGUUACCUGAGUGAUUCCCCAAGACCUGAACUGCAGCCAAGCUGUCAUCUGACCUCCAUGCAUGGGCUGCGACAUGAACACACACACACAAUUUUUUAAAAAAUUAAAUAGAACUUAAAAGUGAAACAUGUACCUGAAUAAUACAAGCUAGCAAGAAAAAAAAAAACUAAAUGUGUAUGUCUGUAUAUAUUAUCAAGAAAUCCCCAGAGUACUAAAUCUAUAUGCACAUAUGCAGUGGUGCAUUUCACUAAAGGUAUAGCCUAUAGCGUGGUUCUCUAUCUGUUAAAAUUCUUAAUGCUGAACAAAAACUAUGGUGAAAAACAGCCAACUUCCAUUUUAAUAGAGGCAAGCCUUGUUGGCCAAGUUCACGCCCUAGAAAAGGUGGAAGGCACCAGAUGGGGUUUCUAAAAUUGGAUUUGUGUCUAGUCCUUUUCAAGGAGUGUGGUGCAUUAACCAGGUCACCGGUUUCAGUUGUGCAUAAGGUAUUGGCACACUAUUAUAAUUGCACUCCAAACAUUGAAGCCUAAGCUGGUGGAGCAGAAGGGUAGUGAGUUACACAAGCUCCUCAGGAUGUCACCUAGAUUAACCUCUAACAUGUGUGCCAAUAACUCAUGUAUAGCUGAAACCAGAGACCUGCUUAGA